rnacentral:rRNA from 1 species
AAGUCAGAGGUGAAAUCCCGGGGCUUAACCGGGGAACUGCCUUUGAUACUGGUUAACUUGAGUUCGGGAGAGGUAAGUGGAAUUCCCAGUGUAGCGGUGAAAUUCGUAGAUAUCACAAGGAACACCAGUGGCGAAGGCAGCUUACUGGACCAAUACUGACGCUGAGGGACGAAAGCGUGGGGAGCAAACAGGAUUAGAUACCCUGGUAGUCCACGCCGUAAACGAUGAUAUGCUAGCUGUUGGGGGGAUUUACCCUUUGGUGGCGAAGCUAACGCAUUAAGUUAUCCGCCUGGGGAGUACGGCCGCAAGGUUAAAA